rnacentral:pre_miRNA from 1 species
CAAAUAAUCCCUCCGUCCGGAAAUACUUGUCAUCAAAAUGGAUAAAAGGAAAUGUAUCUAGACGUAUUUUAGUUUUAGAUACAUCUCUUUUUAUCCAUUUUGAUGACAAGUAUUUUCGGACGGAGGGAGUAGAAA